rfam:Schistosoma haematobium scaffold753_2, whole genome shotgun sequence.
AUCCAGCUGAUGAGUCCCAAAAAGGACGAAACGCGAGUUCUCGAU